GCAAACCUCUUGUAUACUAACCAUUAAUUUUAAUUCUAUUGUUUUUCUUUUACGUUGUAGGCAAUGGUCAGAAAAUAAGUGUGAAAUUCCAAAAAAGACCCUUGUACAAUUCCAGGUUAUCGUGUACGCACUCAUGGAAGACGGCAAGAUAGAAAGUGGCAUGCAUAGGGCUGGUAGAUAAGAUGUUAACUCUCUUCCUGAAUAAGAGGCAGCAAUGGCGAAGGGGAUCAAUGCAAGGAGGACCCAUGUAUUUAAUUUAAAAUAGCAUUGAUGAUCGACAUUAUCUAUACCAAUGGGAAUGGAGUAAAAUUCCAUGAUCUAAAUAAUAAUCCUGGAAUACUACCGUACAAAUUAGAAAGGGACGUCGGAGAAAAAGAGCUCACAAACAAGACAGGGAAUCCUACCCCCAAAGCCAGCAUGGACUUUUCAUCCAUCCAGGCGGAGGAGCUGCUAAGGUCACCAGCCGCCAGCAACUCAGAAGCUGAAGUAAGCGAAAACUCCUCGACCAGGGCAGAACCGAAAGGUUUUGACCAGGCGGGGAGAACGCUACCGAAGCCGAAAAAUUGCUGCGACUCAUGAAAAAAAAGAAGCAGGCAAAGAACCGCAACCGCACAAAGAGGCGGAAAGAGGAAAAACAGAGGAAGAAGGAGGAGCGAGAAGCCAACCAGGAGGGAUCAACAGUUCGUCCAGGACCAGCUUCUGCUUCUACAAAUCCUCUUGUAGGAGGCAACUCUAAGGGCACCACCAAAGCCUCGAACAGCAUGCAACACCCGAGGAGUCGCCAGCUAGUAAAAGGGCGUGGACCAAGGACAAAAGAUGUAAGGCGAGAGGUAGAUAAGCUGAAGCCAAUCAUCCUGCCCACGGCACCCGCCGCUGUCAGGGAAGGGGACACCCAGCACCGGCGCCUCUAGCAAAAAGAGGCAAAUCAAAAAGGACACCCCACCCGACCGCCAACAUAAGAAGCCUAGGCAACGGGCAGGUCCAUCCCUCAAAAAGAUGUGCAGACGGGCGCGUCUCCUCUUCUAAGGAGAGAUACCCAGUCAGGGCAUCCACGAGGGACAAAUGACCAACCCAGUUCCGGCUCCUAUAGCGGGGCAGUCAACAGGGCAAAUCAGGUCGUUUUUAGGUCAGACAGAGAAGGUGGAAUGGUGACCAAAGAGGAGGCGGACCGCCUCAGGCUCCAUCUCAUCUCUGAAAUGAGGAGGACCAAGACUGAGCUCCACUCUCGAAACUCCGGACUCACAGAGACGAGCUGGUUUCUGGUCACCACGGAGGACGAACAGAGACUGGCUUUUGAGCUCCUGUCAACCACUGACCAAGGGGGUCACACCUUCACCGCGGUGAUGUCAUCCGACGCCCCAUGGCCAGUGAGGAUAGUCUUCACUCUGAGGACACUGGAGCGGCCAGACUUAGAGUAUGUCAGGGAAAUCCUUGACAUACAGAAUAGGGCCUUAAGCGUCCCCAGCUGGCAACACCUGACGACGGAAGGCUAGUCUGGAAGGUUUACCCUUCAUCCAUGGUGAGCAGGGAGGUUGCUGCUCGACUCGAGGAGGCCAGGUGGACACUCUUCCUUCACGUAAGCUCCAAGGAUGCUACGGCAGCUCUGCUGGAGUACACGAUCUUAUUAAGUCAUCAACAAAAAGGAGACUUUCCCAGUGUUUUACCACCCUUGGAUGGCUACCAAUAGGAAUUAAAAAGAGCAACGGCCUCAAAUUACUACCCUGUGGCAGCAGAAACUGCAGAAAAACCCUCAGACCUUGAUUUUGCAACUUUAAAAAUCUGUUGUAGUGAGGUCAGGUAUGUUUUCAAAUUGUAGCGUUUUUACCAAUAUAGUAUAAAUUAAAACACUCGAUGCACAAAAAUAGUUAACCGAUUUAUUUUACACGUACACACUGAACACUAUAACUUAAGACUAGUAGAAAUAUUUAUUUAAACGUCUAUUCAAUUUUAAAAGUCGCGCCAAUACUCUUACUUAACCUGAAUUCCUCCUAGAACCUAGCAGUUUUUAUUAUACAGAAGGAAUAAAAAUGAAAAUUUAUGAAAGUAAACUCAAUUUUUUUUUAAUAACAUACAGUGAUGCUAUGAAUACCAGUUUUAACUAUCAAAUAGUUAGGGUCUUACAGUAGGUCUGAACAAUACAAAAUUUGUAUUUGAAAUUCACUACAGAACAAAACUAAUAUUUGAAUUCGAAAUAUCGUCGUCCAGAUGUUAAAACCUUGUAUCUCAAAAAACCAUAAUUUUCAGAAAAUGAAAAAACUUAUCACAUGUUUACCGAUUUUUUGUUUGAUUUAAAAUUUUGCCAAUUAGUUUAAUGUUACUUGCGAAAUGUACAGGGUGGCCAGAUAAGAAUGCAAAGUGCUGUAUUUUGGAAAUUAUUCGUCGUAGAGACUUGCGGUAAAAAACUUUAUUGCUAAAGUGGCCAAAAGAAUAUCGUGGAAAAUAUUUUCAGAUUUCCAAGAUGGUCGCCAGGGGGCGUAACCGCCAUCUUAAACUUUUUAAGUGAUUUUUCACUGAAAUCUACCCAGUAAAUGCUAGGAAAAU
rnacentral:lncRNA from 1 species